rnacentral:rRNA from 1 species
UGGGGAAUAUUGCACAAUGGGGGAAACCCGUGAUGCAGCGACGCCGCGUGAGUGAAGAAGUAUUUCGGUAUGUAAAGCUCUAUCAGCAGGGAAGAUAAUGACGGUACCUGACUAAGAAGCCCCGGCUAACUACGUGCC